UUGUGUGUGGGCACACAUGUAAAAUUAUGAAAAAGGAUGUUAAUGUCUACAAUAGGAAAGAACAAUUCGCAAAUUCCUGAUUUAUCUUUGGUUUAAACAUCUGUCUAUACAUCUCUACAACGCAAAACAUCCAUGCAGGAACAGAGACCUAUGGAGCUGAUUGACUCACCCAAAGCCCUGGAGCUAGUAAUUCAUGAAGGUGGUACUCAAAUCUUGCAUUCCGACUCUUGGACCAGGAAAUUUCUCUCCACACCCUACUGCUUCUGAAGAUUAAUUUGCAGUUAUAUGAAGACAUUUCUCUUCAGCCAUAUGACAUCAUGGGAAAAAUCUGGUCAGAGGAACCACGUUUGAGAAGAUCUUGCCCAAGUCCCUUGAAGAUGAUCAGAGCCUAAUUUUCCAAUCUGUAAAUUGGGGAUCAAAACCACCUUCCUCACAAGGUACUGUAAGAAUUAACUGGAGAGAUGGGAAAGUCGUAUGUAAACCCUAAUGGAUUAUAGAACUGUUCUCUUUCAUUCGAUAGAACACUGUAAUUUCAGAAAUUCUUUCUUUGGAUGCUUCCCCCUUCCCAAACACCUGGGGCUCAACCUUCUUACCCCUUGCUCCGUGGAGCAGUGAUGAUAAGUAGAAUCCUCACUCCCCUCCCAAUACAAUUGGCUGGCGUGGCCUGCCCUGAGGCUAAAGGCUUCUUCAGUAUUUUGACUUUUUCCAAGGGCUCUCAAAGAGGAUACACUUUAUGGUCAUUAGAAAGGAAUAUUUCACCUUAGAUAGCAGUUCAAACUUCCCACUUUGAACCCCUAAGUGAAUCUAUACAACUUAGAUUUAUUAACAAACCUUUUGUUAUUGUUGAGAAUUUUAAAAAGAAAUUCAUUUUUCUUAAGUCAUUAUUUGGAUUUGCUCAGUAUUUGUUUAUUGGACUUAUGUGGGAGUGGUAACCAGAGCAAUGUAAGAGGAAAAGUACUAGAAUAGAAUUCAUAAAGAUGAGGAUCUUCAGCCUGGCUCUUUCUCUUUCCAUCUGUGUAAUUUUGAGCAAAUGUCUUGACCUCUCUG
rnacentral:lncRNA from 1 species